UGACCAGUUUUAUCGGAAACGAUGUACACCCAAUGACAUCAAUCCCCUCCUCUCUUCUUAUUCAGCUCAGAGAAUUCAACACUCAAAACCAAGAGGCCACCAUGUGGAUUGGAGCACUACAACGGAAGCUCACAACUCUAGCAGAACAAACCAAUGCUGAGGACAGACUUCACAGUGCACAGGCCGUUCUGGGCUCCAAGCCCGAAGGAGACGGCAAGGUGGACGAUCUGAGAAGACGGGGGCAGAGCGUGUGUGAGCGUGAGGACCUGAAGGAGAGCAGCAGGAAGGAGGUGCAGCAGGCCGUCAGGGAGGCGGCGGAGCAGUGGAGAAGCGUUCUAGAGAAGGCGGAGGAGGUCCUCCACAGGACUGAGCUCCAGUCCACCCUCUCCAGGGAGCUGCAGGCGUUCAGCGGCCAGGCAGAGAGUGCUGGGACCUGGCUGAAGGAGCUCCGACACCAGGCCGCCCCGCUGGAGACCCAGGUGACCCAGGGCAACCAGGAGCAGAUAGAGAGCAGGCUCAAAGCAGCGCAGGUAACAUGCACAAACACACACGCACGCACACGCACACGCACGCAUGCACACACACACACAGACAGACACACAGACACAGACACACACACAGACACACACACAGACACACACAGAGACACAGACACACACACAGACACAGACACACACACAUGCACACGCACACGUGCACACCCACACACACGCGUGCACUCACACACACAUACACACACACACACACACACCUAUAUAUAUACAUAUACACAUACAUAAUAAAAGGUACUACUUAAAUAGGAUGCUGUUGUUUCUCGUCCAAUGACCUUCUGCCCCCUCCGUGGUUUCCCAGACGAUCCUUGGCUCCAGGUCGAGGGCCAAGGGCUUCCUGUCAGACCUGAGCAGAGGAGCACAGAGUCUGUGUCAGCGUGAGGACCUGGAGGAGAGCAGGAGGACGGAGGUGCAGCAGACGGUCAGACAGACAGAGGAGCAGUGGAGGUCCCUCCUGAAGACUGCUGAGGGGGCGCAGAGGUACAGGAGUCAUGUCAAGUGACGUCAUGUCACCUGACGUCAUGUCAUGCGACGUCAUGGCCGGUG
rnacentral:lncRNA from 1 species